rnacentral:rRNA from 1 species
UGCCAGCAGCCGCGGUAAUACGGAGGGGGUUAGCGUUGUUCGGAAUUACUGGGCGUAAAGCGCACGUAGGCGGACUUUUAAGUCAGAUGUGAAAUCCCAAGGCUCAACCUUGGAACUGCAUUUGAAACUGGGAGUCUAGAGAUCAGGAGAGGUUAGUGGAAUUUCUGGUGUAGCGGUGAAAUGCGUAGAUAUCAGAAGGAACAUCAAGGCGAAGGCAGCUUUCUGGACCAAUACUGACGCUGAGGUACGAAAGCGUGGGUAGCAAACAGGAUUAGAUA